CCUACGGGAGGCAGCAGUGAGGAAUAUUGGUCAAUGGACGCAAGUCUGAACCAGCCAUGCCGCGUGCAGGAAUACGGCUCUAUGAGUUGUAAACUUCUUUUGUACGAGGGUAAAUCCCGAUACGUGUCUCGGGUUGAAAGGAUCGUACGAAUAAGGACCGGAUAAAUCCGUGCCAGCAGCCGCGGUAAUCCGGAGGGUUGAAGCUUUAUCCGGAUUUAUUGUGUUUAAAGGGUGCGUAGGCGGGUCUCUAAGUUAGAGGUGAAAUCCCGGGGCUCAACUCCGACCAUGCCUCUGAUACUGUCGAGCUAGAGUUUAGGUGCGGUAGGCGGAAUGUGUGGUGUAGCGGUGAAAUGCAUAGAGAUCACACAGAACCCCGAUUGCGAAGGCAGCAUACCAAACUACGACUGACGUUCAGGCACGAAAGCGUGGGUAGCGAACAGGAUUAGAUACCCCAGUAGUC
rnacentral:rRNA from 1 species